UUUUGAACCCUAAGAAGAAGAAGGCCAACCGUCACCUAACUCCAUCUUCACCUUAGAGCCAUCUCACCUCCCUUCAUAGACCUAACCGCCGCACCACCCAUCUCUGACGCCUAUCGCCGCCGCGCCACCACCAAAGAAAAAGGCAGCCACUCCACCCUCAACAAAAACCCGCCGGAAACCUAACACACUCCACCCUUCUCGAUCUACCAACGACCUCACUCUCCCUUUCACUUUGAGAGACAACAACCAAUCUCUCAUUUUCCAAAAUGAAAGAAACGACAAAAAACAGAAGGGGAAUGGGAUUUGGAAAACGAAACAGAGCAGAGAACAGACUACCCUAGAGCUAAUGGCCGCACUCCCUUAUGUUUGAGACUCUAAUCUCUUUGUUUUUCACGCCUCAUCAACGACUCCCAUACCCCUAUUCUUAUCUUCUCCCAUAUCUCUCUCUCUUUCCGUAGCUACUGCCGUCGCCAUCAUUUAAGCCGCCGUUGCCAAAAAUCUGCCGCUCACAUCAUUUUGGUCGAGUUAAAGAGGUCGAAUUCGAGUUCGCCGGUGAGUUUCAGUUCGUUGGUCAUGGUUGAAUUUUCUGAUUCUCGAUUCAGUGUGGAUUCAGUCCAAUUUCUCAGAAGAAAAUUAUCAUUAAAGGUAUGGAUCCAUUUGUCAGUGCUUGAGCAUGACAGACGCCCCAGGACCAUCCAGUCAGGACCACUACAUUUAGGAGUUGCUUGAAGAGACUUUUUAUAUUUUUGAGCACCAACCUGGAGAACGAGGGUCGAUAUUUCAGAAAUUGGUUUCAAGGUUCAAAUCAGUAACAAGCGCCCACCUGGAGAAUGAGGGAAUUCAAUUCUUUUCAGAUUUAUUUCAAGUUUCAAGUCGAUAGAAGGCGCCCACCUGGAGAACGAGGGAAUUCAUUUCAGAGUUAAAUUCAAGUUUCGAGUCAGUAGCAAGCGCCCACCUGGAGAACGAGAGAAUUCAUUUUAGAGUUAAAUUCAAGCUUCAAGUCAGUAGCAAGCAUCCACCUGGAGAAUGAGGGAAUUCAUUUUAAAGCCAUUUCAAGUUUCAAUUUAGUAGCAGGCGCUCACCCGGAGAACAAGGAAAUUCAUUUCAAAGACAAUCCAAGUUAGACGUAGCAGAAGUUCGCCUCAAGGAUGCGAGUCAACAGUUCGAGAUGCACGGCAAGACCGAGAAAAGAUUCAAGACAGAAGAGUUGACAGGAUUUUGUGGUUUUCUUGUAAUUUUUAUCUUAUUUGGUUUUAUUUUGAUGUCUUGACAGGAACCACGGACCGGAACCACGACGAUACUUCAAUCGACUCUCUCCACCUCGUUAUCCUUCUCCACUCUUUUUACUUCUGAACUAUACGUGACCUGAUUCCUUUAUAGCCAAGAAUAUGUAGGCAACUCAGAUAACAGAGUUCGGUCACAAUCUUUUUAUCCAUCUUUAUUUUAUUUUGAAUAAGUGUCAGGUCAGAAAUUAAUUACGUUACUUACUUAAUUAUUUGCUAAAAAACUUUUCGAGUUUUCAAGAAAAUAGGGGCAGGUGUAAGCACGUAAUUUUU